rnacentral:rRNA from 1 species
UACGUAGGGUGCGAGCGUUAAUCGGAAUUACUGGGCGUAAAGCGUGCGCAGGCGGUUCGUCGUGUCCGAUGUGAAAGCCCCGGGCUCAACCUGGGAAUGGCAUUGGAAACUGGCGGACUCGAGUGUGGCAGAGGGGGGGUGAAUUCCGCGUGUAGCAGUGAAAUGCGUAGAGAUGCGGAGGAACACCGAUGGCGAAGGCAGCCCCCUGGGCUAACACUGACGCUCAGGCACGAAAGCGUGGGGAGCAAAAGGG